rnacentral:rRNA from 1 species
GAUGAACGCUGGCGGCGUGCCUAAUACAUGCAAGUCGAGCGAACAGACGAGAAGCUUGCUUUUUUGAUGUUUGCGGCGGACGGGUGAGUAACACGUGGAUACCCUCCCUAUAUGUCUGGGAACAUUACGGGACACCGGCGCUAAUACCGGAUAAUAUUUUGAACCGCAUGGUUCAUAAGUGAAAGUCGGUCUUGCUGUCUCUUAUAGCUGGAUCCGCGCUGCAUUAGCUAGUUGGUACGGUAACGGCUUACCAAGGCAACGAUGCAUAGCCGACCUGAGAGAGGGAUAGGCCACACUGGAACGGAGACACGGUCCAGACGCCUACGGGAGGCAGCAGUAGGGAAUCUUCCGCAAUGGGCGAAAGCCUGACGGAGCAACGCCGCGUGAGUGAUGAAGGUCUUCGGAGCGUAAAACUCUGUUAUUAGGGAAGAACAGAUGUGUAAGUAACUGUACACAUCGUGACGGUACCGAAUCAGAAAGCCACGGCUAACUACGUG